rnacentral:rRNA from 1 species
AAGCUCGUAGUUGAAUUUCGGACUCAAUUUGUUGGUCGUGCCUCGGUACGUACUGGUAUUAUUGGUUUCUACCUUCUGAAGAACCUUCAUGUCAUUAAUUUGGUGUCUUGGGGAAUCAGGACUGUUACUUUGAAAAAAUUAGAGUGUUUAAAGCAAGCAUACGCUUGAAUACAUUAGCAUGGAAUAAUGAAAUAGGACGUUUGAUUCUAUUUUGCUGGUUUCUAGGAUCGACGUAAUGAUUAAUAGGGAUAGUUGGGGGCAUUAGUAUUCAAUUGUCAGAGGUGAAAUUCUUGGAUUUAUUGAAGACUAACUACUGCGAAAGCAUUUGCCAAGGAUGUUUUCAUUAAUCAAGAACGAAAGUUAGGGGAUCGAAGACGAUCAGAUACCGUCGUAGUCUUAACCAUAAACUAUGCCGACUAGGGAUCGGAUGAUGUUAAUUUUUUAAUGACUCAUUCGGCGCCUUACGGGAAACCAAAGUGUUUGGGUUCCGGGGGGAGUAUGGUCGCAAGGCUGAAACUUAAAGGAAUUGACGGAAGGGCACCACCAGGGGUGGAGCCUGCGGCUUAAUUUGACUCAACACGGGGAAA